rnacentral:rRNA from 1 species
AUUGAACGCUGGCGGCAGGCCUAACACAUGCAAGUCGAGCGGAGCGGCGGACGAGUGAGUAAUGCAUAGGAAUCUGCCUGGUAGUGGGGGAUAACGUCCGGCAACGGGCGCUAAUACAGCAUCCUUUCAGUUGAGCCUAGGUCGGAUUAGCUAGUUGGGGGGGUGAGGGCCUACCAGGGCGACGAUCCGUAACUGGUCUGAGAGGAUGAUCAGUCACACUGGAACUGAGACACGGUCCAGACUCCUACGGGAGGCAGCAGUGGGGAAUAUUGGACAAUGGGCGAAAGCCUGAUCCAGCCAUGCCGCGUGUGUGAAGAAGGUCUUCGGAUUGUAAAGCACUUUAAGUUGGGAGGCGUUACCAACAGAAUAAGCACCGGCUAACUUCGUGCCAGCAGCCGCGGUAAUAC